AAUGGGAUAAGCUAAGUAAAGCUAUUGGGUUCAUACCCCAAAUAUGAGUUUGUCCUCUCCCAUUA
rnacentral:tRNA from 1 species